UACGAGGGGGCUAGCGUUGCUCGGAAUGACUGGGCGUAAAGGGCGUGUAGGCGGUUUGCACAGUCAGAUGUGAAAUUCCUGGGCUCAACCUGGGGGCUGCAUUUGAUACGUGUAGACUUGAGGUGGGGAAGAGGGUCGUGGAAUUCCCAGUGUAGAGGUGAAAUUCGUAGAUAUUGGGAAGAACACCGGUGGCGAAGGCGGCGACCUGGUCCUUGACUGACGCUGAGGCGCGAAAGCGUGGGGAGCAAACAGGG
rnacentral:rRNA from 1 species